GCUUACGGCCACACCGGCCUGAGUACGCCUGAUCUCGUCCGAUCUCGGAAGCUAAGCAGGGUCGGGCCUGGUUAGUACUUGGAUGGGGGACCGCCUGGGAAUACCAGGUGCUGUAAGCU
rnacentral:rRNA from 1 species